rnacentral:rRNA from 1 species
GAUGAAUGCUGGCGGCGUGCCUAAUACAUGCAAGUCGAGCGAACAGAUAAGGAGCUUGCUCCUUUGACGUUAGCGGCGGACGGGUGAGUAACACGUGGGUAACCUACCUAUAAGACUGGGAUAAAUUCGGGAAACCGGAGCUAAUACCGGAUAACUUUUGGAGCCUCAUGGUUCUCAAGUGAGAGAUGGUUUUGCUAUCACUUAUAGAUGGACCGGCGCCGUAUUAGCUAGUUGGUAAGGUAACGGCUUACCAAGGCGACGAUACGUAGCCGACGUGAGAGGGGGAUAAGCCACCCUGGAACUGAGACACGGUCCAGACUAAUAUGGGAGGCAGCGGUGGGGAAUGUACCGCAAGGGGCGAGAGCCUGACGGGGAACCGCCGAGUGAGUGAUGAAGGGUUUGGGCUCGUAAAACUCUGUUAUUAGGGAAGAACAAAAGUGUAAGUAACUUGUCACGUAUUGACGGUACCUAAUGAGAAAGCCCCGGCUAACUACGUG